GAUUUAGGUUUUGUCUCUAGUAGGUGUAAUAAAACUAAUUUAGUAAAGUGUUUAUGUCUAAUCCACAUGUCCACUUCACGACGGUUAGAUUUUAUUGUGAUUUGAAAAUUUGAUCGAUCUAAAAUUGACGGUCCUUAUUAAAACUAAUUUUGUUGCUGAUAUGGCAAAGUUGGUUCUUUAAAACUACCUACAAAAUAAUCUGAUGUGGCAUGAUGGUAUAUUAGGUAGUUCACUUCAUAAUUUGGCCGGAAUUUCAAAUGGGGAGGGGGAAGGGGGGACACGAAGAUGAUAAUAGAGGUGAAGAAGAUGAUAAUAGAUUUAGGUUUUGUCUCUAGUACCUAGUAGGUGUAAUAAAACUAAUUUGGUAAAGUGUUUAUGUCUAAUCCACAUGUCCACUUCACGACAGUUAGACUGCUUAGAGGAGUAGUUGUUUAUGUAUUCAACCAUGACAUGCUAUUGAUAAUUGAUGGCAUGAGUGGUCAAACAACGUACCAUGAUUAAUAAUUGCAAUAUUCCAACCUAUUAUUUAGGUGGGCCAAAAACUAAAAACCCAUUUUCUUAACCUUAUUUUGACUGUGGUUUAUAUUUGUAUGCAAAUAAUUGAUAUCUAGUUUUUAUAUUUGAUAUCUUAUAAAAAAAAAAAAAAAUCUAGUUUUCACAAAUAUAAAAGCUCACCGUAUUUCUAAAACGUUCAGACUUCAGAGACCAGAGUCACUGUUUACUCUGGACUAGACAGUUUAGGUUGGAGAAGGGUUUUUACUGAGUCCACAUUUUGUAACAAAAGGAUGAAGAAAUAAAGACACGUGUUAUUAGAAUAUAUCUAUAUUCCAAUUCCAAUUCCAUAUAAACAUCUGUUUUUGUAAACUCUCUUAUCACAAACCCUACCGAUGUCGUCCGAUAGCGGCCGUGAAAUAUGGCUGCGGUCUCCCAAACGACCGGUAAGUCUUAUAACAAACCCAGUCAUGUCGUCCGAUGCCGGCAAUGAAUUUUUUGAAAAAGCGCUGCGGUCUCCGAAACGAUCACGAACUGAAGAGGCAGAAAAAGGAUUCGAGAAGAAUGAGACAAAAGAAAAAGAAAAAGUAAAAGUAAAAGAAGAAGAAGAAGAUGAUGAUGACGAUUAUGUAGAAGAAGGUAUGUUUUUGCCUUUUCUUUCUUUGGUUUUUUUUUUUCAUCACAAAUUUAAUCCGUACCUAAUUUUCUGAUUUGAAUUUGUAUUGUUUGAAAUUAUCUGCUUUAGGUUAAUGUUUGUCUGAUUUCGUAAAUUUAGGGUUAAAGAUCUGCAUCUCUAAAAUAAAUUUGACUUUUAUUUUUCUUAUUAAAGAAGCUAUUAGAAUUUAGAACAACAAACCUAUAUCUGCAAAUACUCCCAAUGCCACAUAUAACAAUGAAUAGUUGCACAUUUUUCUGCCUUAAAACGGAAUUAUUGUAUGUAGUUUUACAUUUGGUUAAAGCGUCUUACUCAAGCUGGAUAUCAUGUGUUGGUGACUCGGUAUGUAUUCUACUAUGAGUGUUUUUGUAGGCAUGUUUUAUAAAUGCCAUGGUUUGGGUUUGUAUGCACGUUUUAUAAGUGCUACUAGAGUCAUAGGUUUUUGUCACAAAAUCAAUGUCAAAGGGGGAGAUUGAAAUUGGCACUCGGUUAUUUGACAUUAAUUUUGUGACAUUGAUUGUCUCGGUUAUCUCGCCUUGAGUUCAUUGUUAGGAAAACCAAGUUGUACGCGCAUCGUCCCGAGUCUGUGUCCUCGCGUCCUUUUGUCAAAAGUAAGUUUUUGGGUUUAGGACGUACGUACCUAGUUAGGGCGUACGUACGUCAUGUUAGGCAGCAAACAUGUUUUGGUCAGGACGUACGUACCUAGUUAGGACGUAUGUACGUCCAAGCAGACAGCGAACUAUUUUCGUGUGGGGACGUACGUACGCUGUUUCGACGUACGUACGUCCAAUGUAAAAUCUGCAAAGUCCGGCCCAUUUUCUAUGUUUCCAAACCCUAACUAUAUAUAGGGUUUCUUUACCCAAUGAACAAACUAGUUCUUUGGCCGUCCAAUUCAUCUCUAGUCUUGGAGUUUGUUUAGGUUUUGGUUUAGGUUGUUUUGGUGAUUGAACUCAUCUUCUUCUUCCCCAUUCAUCUUCUUCUUCCUUAUUAAAUAUUGAGAUCAGCUUCGAGUCUUCUUGUGUGUUCAUCAAGAAAUCGAGUAUCCUUGUGUGUUCAUCAAGGAACUCUGGUGUAAGCUUGCUACAUAGAUCGGCUUCGAGUCUUCUUGUGUGUUCAUCAAGAAGUCGAGUGUCUUGUGCGUACAUCAAGGUACUCUGGUGAAGUCAAGGUGUUAGAGAUAACCAGUAGUGUCAACUCGCAGUGAUUGCAGGUAGUUGAUAGGUUUGUACAUCUCUUUUCAUCUAGUGGAUUUAUUUGUUGUCACGAGGACAACCGUGGACGUUUCCCAUAUUGAGUUUUACCACGUUAAAAAUAUCGUGUGUUCUUUACUUGUUUACUGCUUUAUUGUUUGCUUCACUAUUGUUAUAUUGCAUAUAUUGGGUUUUCAUGUACUGCUGUGAUUCAACUUCUGUCCAUACAAGCACCAAUGCGGAUUCCUUGACAUUCUCAUGUCUGAGGAGAUCAGUACCUUGGUCCUUGUACUUGUAGGCCACAUAUUUGGCUAUUGCUCGAGAUUCUGCACAUUAAAUGAAUAUCACAUUGUUACUAUAGUGCAUAUAAUCGACAUUUUUAUAUUUGACGAACAUUUUUAUAUAAUGCAUAGACAUUCGACAAUAUAUGUAUGGAUUUAUCGACAAAUCAAAAGAACUUACCGAAAAGUGUGAGAUCGCCAUCCUCCAACACUGGAAUUUGACCAAAUGGCUGCUUGGCGAGGAAAGUAGGUUGUUUGUGUUCACCCACAGCUAGAUUAAGAGGAAUCAAUUCAUAUUCAACACCCUUCUCAAUCAAACAUGUUAGUACUCGUGCAGUACAUGAAGACAAAGGCAUUCCAUAAACCUUAACAGCAGCCAUGGCUAGAGAAAUAAUGUUCUUUGAAAAGAUAGAAAGAAAUAGAAGAACAAAUGUAGGUUUGAGAAGAAGAAAGAGAUAUAGAUAGAGCAGAAAGAGUUGUGGAGAUUUAGAGCAGAGAACCAAGCUUAAUAUAUAGCUAGACUGCUUAGAGGAGUAGUUGUUUAUGUAUUCAACCAUGACAUGCUAUUGAUAAUUGAUGGCAUGAGUGGUCAAACAACGUACCAUGAUUAAUAAUUGCAAUAUUCCAACCAUACUGUAUUUGUUUUCUUCUAGAAAAAAAUUAUAGACAAAAUAAUAGAUUUUUCUUUAUACAAAUGUGUUUUCAUAUUAUUAACUUUGGAUUAUUUUUAAUUUUUUUUUUUUUCAGAAAAUGAUUUGUGUCUGAGAAUGAACUGAAAUAAUUAAUUUUUUCUUACUAGACAGUACACACUAUGAUAUUUUGUGAAAUAUUUGCAUUUUUUUUUUUUUUUUUUUUUUUGCAAAAAUGCAAAAUAUUCUACCAUAAGAUCAGCUAGCCCAAGAACUUGUUUGGCUGUUGGCUAUGUACACCCACAUGAUAAUUGCGCCGCGAAGUCUUCUCUUCUCUUUCACUCUUUCUCCAUCACUAUCAUCUCUUGCUUGUUCUUCUGAGGAAAUUCUAAAGGCAAGUUUUUUUACUGUUUGGGUUUUGUUUGAUUUUUUCACAGUAAUGGAUCUCUAGUGUUUUCUUCUCUACUUUUUCUUCAUUUUUAUUGCAUUCUAAAUCUAAAACUAGCUACUUCUAUGAUGAUCUAUUGAUAUAUAUCUAUGACUUUUUUGCUAUUUAGUAAGUGGGAUUUUAAUCAUUAAUAACAACCCAUUGAAAGUAUUGAGAUUUCCAUUAAAGGGUAUCUUUAAAAUCUAAAAAUGAUUGAGGAUUUUGAGAUCCAAUUGUGACUUGAAAUGCACAAUGUUUUACAUUUCUAAAUAAAUUCUACUGAGGUGAUUAGUAAUUCUGAUGGAAAUCGAUCUUAAAUUUGUUUUUGCAGUAAUGAGGUGUGAUUUCAAUUCACUUGUUAUAUUCUCAGUUGUCCUUCGCAUUGUUCUUAUUAUUUAUGGAGAAUGGCAAGAUACCCAUAUGGAAGUUAGAUACACUGAUGUUGAUUACCUUGUUUUCUCGGAUGCUUCUUCUUUGAUGGCAUCUGGAUUGUCGCCUUAUAAGAGAUCUACNNNNNNNNNNNNNNNNNNNNNNNNNNNNNNNNNNNNNNNNNNNNNNNNNNNNNNNNNNNNNNNNNNNNNNNNNNNNNNNNNNNNNNNNNNNNNNNNNNNNUUUCUGCUUCAGGUAUGAAUCCUUCUUUUUUCUUCCAUAUGAAGUUUAACCCAUUACCUACUUUGGGAGGUUUAUACGUUCUUGAUUUUUAUUGAGUUGGCUUUACCGGUUGAACUUUAUAAUGAGAAUUAGCAUCAACAGAUGACAUAGAUUGAUGAAUGUGCUUAUGUUGCAGAUAUUCUUGUGGGAUUAUUUAUUCGCAAUAUUUUGAAGCUACGCGGUGUUCCGGAGAAUUUAUGCCUAAUCUCUAUGGGAGCAUGGCUCUUUAAUCCAUUUACCUUCACCAUAGGGACUCGUGGGAACUGCGAGCUAGUACUGUAUAACUCAUUGUACUUUCUUCAACGUUUUAGAUUUUAAUUAGAUUGUAACUAAUACCAUACCUUUUUUAAUUUAAAUUAUGUAUGACAUAUUUGCCUUCUUUAAUCUCAUCAUGUUUCUCAAUUUACAGGCAAGGUGUUACAAGCAGCAUUUUGGUACUCUUAUGCUGUUCACCUUUUAUACUGAUGUGCAAAACGGUUAACGAUACCAAAAUUUUAUGCCAAAAACAAGGCAUCACCAUCAAAACCUUUUCUCCAAACUUGGGGUGCCACACAACAAAAGUCUAGCCAAGGUUCUAAUUGUAAAGGAGGAAGUUUUCUUUUUGAUUCAUUGCUUCGUUUGAGAAGUUUGCUAACAAGAGAGAGGAUAUUAUUUGGGCUUCUCUCUGCAUCGGUGUUCUUCUUUUGGACCUGGCUUUUCUUUUAUCUUUACCAAUGGGAGUUUCUCAAUGAGGCACUCUUUUACCAUCUUACACGCACUGAUCCGAGGCACAACUUCUCCAUAUAUUUUUAUCACAUCUAUCUUCAUCAUGAACGUGAAUUUUCAAUAUUGGAGAAGCUUGUGUCUUUUUUGCCUCAGUUGACGGUGCAACUUGUUCUUAUUUUCCGCUACGCACAAGACCUCCCAUUCUGCCUCUUUGUCCAGACAGUGGCUUUUGUAGCAUUCAACAAGGUACUUGAGUUUGUGAUCAAUUUCUUAUCAUUUCUAAAGCGUAACUUCUAUCUUAAUAUAACGUCUUACAGAUUCUUCUUAGUGAUGCGUUUUUCCCCAUAUUUUGAGAUUGAUUGUUACGCAUACAUGUGAAAUUAUGUUUUAUCAUCAUCUUGGUUGUUGAUUCCAAACCAAGAAUGGUUAACAACUGUGACAUAUUAUACGUAAGGUAACUGCAGCUUCUUGCUAUAAUAAAUCUGGGAUGAUCUUUAUGCAUCACAAUUUUAUUAACAGAUGAUAAAUAUUAAUCAUUGACAGGUUGUCACAGCGCAAUAUUUUGUAUGGUUCUUCUGCCUGCUUCCCUUAUUGCUACCAUGGAGUAAUAUGAAUCUCAGAUGGGAAGGUUUAUCGUGCAUUCUCAUAUGGAUGGGUACGCAACUGCAUUGGCUGAUGUGGGGUUAUAUGUUGGAAUUCAAAGGGAAGAAUGUCUUUGUUCAGUUAUGGGUUGCAGGUUUAUUGUUCUUGGCUGCAAACACAUGGGUUCUCAUCAAGAUAAUGUGUCGGCACAAAUUUUCCCCGAUUUUCAUUGCGUCACAGAAGACAAGUGUCAAAAGUGCUAGAAAACUACAGUGAUGGAGCAGUUAGUUUUUGCUCGUGGUGCACUUUUUGUUGUAGUCUUAAGUUACGUAUGUUGGAAUUUAUUUCUUAAGAUGUGGGCAAUUUUACAAUUCCAAUUUAUUUCUUAAGAUGUGGGCAAUUUUACAAUUCCACGCCUAAAUAUUGCACUUUCACAAGAUGAUGUUGAAUGAUGUAAGAUGAAAAUUCCUUCAGAAGCAUUUUGAACAAUCAGGACAUUCUAACAGCGAAAGUGAGGAGUGCCAACCUGCAUUAAACAUUUUUUACUGCCAAUCCAUUAGCAUUGAAUAUGAUAUCAAAUGAACAUUUCCUUGUAAUUGGUUGUAUCUUGGUAAAUCCAGUUUCACAGGGUACUGAAGAUAGUAGGGAACACAGAAGUAUAUUACUUAAAAAAAUGGCAUGAAAAGUAACAAAACCAAGAUGGCAAGAUCCAGAUAUUAUGAUUCAGUUAGAAGUCUAGAGUCAAUAAAAGUCUAGUUCUUAUCAAUCUAGAGGUGAAGAAGAUGAUAAUAGAGGUGAAGAAGAUGAUAAUAGAUUUAGGUUUUGUCUCUAGUAGGUGUAAUAAAACUAAUUUGGUAAAGUGUUUAUGUCUAAUCCAAAUGUCCACUUCACGAUGGUUAGAUUUUAUUGUGAUUUGAAAGUUUGAACGAUCUAAAAUCGACGGUCCUUAUUAAAACUAAUUUUGUUGCCGAUGUGGUAAAGUGGGUUCUUUAAAACCACCUACAAAAUAAUCUGAUGUGGCAUGAGGG
rnacentral:lncRNA from 1 species